ACUACGGGUGGCAGCAGUGGGGAAUAUUGCACAAUGGGGGAAACCCUGAUGCAGCGACGCCGCGUGAGUGAAGAAGUAUCUCGGUACGUAAAGCUCUAUCAGCAGGGAAGAAAAUGACGGUACCUGACUAAGAAGCCCCGGCUAACUACGUGCCAGCAGCCGCGGUAAUACGUAGGGGCCAAGCUUUAUCCGGAUUUACUGGGUGUAAAGGGAGCGUAGACGGCAGCGCAAGUCAGGAGUGAAAGGCCCGGGCUCAACCCCGGAACUGCUCUGGAUACUGGGAAGCUGGAGUGCAGGAGAGGGAAGCGGAAUUCCUGGUGUAGCGGUGAAAUGCGUAGAUAUCAGGAGGAACACCGGAGGCGAAGGCGGCUUACUGGACUGUAACUGACGUUGAGGCUCGAAGGCGUGGGGAGCAAACAGGAUUAGAUACCCCAGUAGUC
rnacentral:rRNA from 1 species